GAGCGCGCCGCCACCAGGGCCUCAAGCCGAUCUCCAGUGUUCACACCGCGGGUCAUCGGCACAGCCGUGGCCAGGUACAACUUUGCUGCACGAGACAUGCGGGAGCUGUCGCUGCGGGAAGGUGAUGUGGUGAAGAUCUACAGCCGGAUCGGUGGGGACCAGGGCUGGUGGAAGGGCGAGACGAACGGGCGGAUCGGUUGGUUUCCUUCGACGUACGUGGAAGAGGAAGGCAUCCAGUGAGGGCGAGACCUGGACAGAACCCACAGAUGCUCUUGGGAGUCUCCCCAGCUCUGAAGUCCGCCUCUGGCUUCUCCGUAGCUCUGGGAACUGCCUGCUAAGCCUGCAGCUGUUAUGGCCCCUAGGGAUGGGGAGGGUGUCCCACCAUCACCUGCCCUAGGUGGCCUGUGCCUGGGUACAUUCCUUGUACAUAGAGGAGAUCCGUGCUGGCCACACCCAGAGCACCAAGGAUGGGGAGCUCAGGCCAUAUGGCCAAGCAUGUGUGGAUGACAGCAAAGGUCAGAAGCUACUGCCUGCCCCUCUGGUUUAGAUGGUUGCUCAGGAGCCCAGACUUCGACUCAUGGUGUGCCAGGGAGGGCUGGGGACAACAGGGGGUCCCUUCCCAGGCCCAUCUGCUGCCCCACACUGAUCUGCCUGUCUUUUCUGCUGCUCUCUAGAGUGUGUGUCAGGUUUUGGGAGGCAGGCAGGACCAGAGCCAAGCUGUGCUGUAGCACACUCCAGGCCCAGCUGGGAGAG
rnacentral:lncRNA from 1 species